CGAACGGGUGAGUAACGCGUGAGGAACCUGCCUUUCAGUGGGGGACAACAGUUGGAAACGACUGCUAAUACCGCAUAAUGUCUAAACCGAGGCAUCUCGGAUAGACCAAAGGAGCAAUCCGCUGUAAGAUGGACUCGCGUCCAAUUAGAUAGUUGUGGGGUAACGGCCCACCAAGUCGACGAUUGGUAGCCGGACUGAGAGGUUGAACGGCCACAUUGGAACUGAGAAACGGUCCAGACUCCUACGGGAGGCAGCAGUGGGGAAUAUUGGGCAAUGGGCGAAAGCCUGACCCAGCGACGCCGCGUGCGGGAAGAAGGUCUUCGGAUUGUAACCGCUUUAUUAGGGACGAAGCAUGACGGUACCUAAUGAAUAAGCCACGGCUAACUACGUG
rnacentral:rRNA from 1 species